rnacentral:misc_RNA from 1 species
CGACGCGACACGAGUGAGUGACGAGGUAUUCCGGGUGUAGACGGCCACACGACCGACACGAGCCACAAAGUGCCUUUUCCCACGUCUAGCGAAGUCAUGGCGUCCUCGAUAGGAACUUGCGUCCCCGUGCAGGCGCUUCCGAUUGCUAACACCAACAAGUUGAUCCUGACUGGGCCCUGCUUCCUCAUCAAAACCUCCACAGUGGCCCAGCAGGUGCAGGCGUUGAGACCGCUCAAGAAGAUCUGUCCCAGCAACGAACCCGAAGCGCUGAGGUGCAAGAGGAGAAUAGACUUCAGCAAGCUGGGCUACACCCUGCCUAAAGCUCAGCCUGCAGCCGUCCACAGGAGGAACGAGCGAGAGAGGAACAGAGUGAAGCUGGUGAACCUAGGUUUCGAGACUCUCAGAGAACAUGUUCCCAGCGGGAAGAAGAACAAGAAGAUGAGUAAAGUGGACACUCUGCGCGGAGCCGUGGACUACAUCAAGCAUCUGCAGGACGUGCUCAACGGCGACACGGACAGCAACAUUGACGACAGUCCCUCCAUGGACUCGGACAGCUACCCCAGCUCACCGUCAGACUCCGACAACAGCAGCGUGGACGUGGGCUACAGCCAGGACCGAGCUCCACCUCUCCCUGCUGCCACCCUGGUGGCCCCGGACCCCGGCCCUGCAGCCCCGUCCCCCCAGAGUGUGUGUUCCGACUCGUCAUACGAUUCGCUCAGUUCCCUGGAGGAGUCGGACAUUGUUGACUUUUCUCACUGGCUCACGCAACUGUGCAGUGCUUCCGACGUCGUCGACAACGUCUUCUUUAAUUCAGGUAUGGACAUACAGACGUGAGGCAACUAGAUCGACUUCUGCCGAGAUGUCACCCUCUAUCAGCGAGCUUCCAAACCAAGUAUUUGACAAUAACUGAUUCCACUAACAGGCAAAUCUACGGUCGAAUGUUCAUAGUUCCUGUUCACUGCGCGCACGAGCACGGAGGACCUACUUCAGAAGGACAUGUUCACUGUUUACGUUUCUGUAUCACCGCGCCAUUGUGGACUCUACAUUACGCUUUGUGGUAGUCGUAAAUUUGAUUGACUCUUUUUAAAUUCUUCCUUGAGAACUGUUUUUAGAAAAUCCAAUCUAUGAACACAUUAUAAGUGACCCAAAACAGUCUGUAUUUAUUUCUGUUAGCCAACGUACGUUGCGAUGACUGGGCUCUUCUUUCUCUUCUGAAAUAGUACUACAAACGAACGUAGAGUACGAUGAAUGUUCCCGGCCCUUCAUUCACAGAUUGAAUUCCCACCCGUUGAUCGUGAAGCGAUGACCCAGAGAUGACCGCCGCUAACGUGGCAUAAACAUCCCGGGUGCAACAAAGAGAUGGCCAUCUAUAGAACUUGUCAACAGCCCAUAGAAACCCUCGGCUUGGCCCCAGUGCAGGCUGAUGGACCUGGUCAAAAGAAAUAGCCGGACGUUGGAAAAGUGACCGCGCUGGACACGUUUGUGUGAAGUUUUCAUCUGUUGGUUUCUCAGCGCUAACCCAUGGGCGGCGUACCUGUCGAUUUAUCAUCGUUAACGAUGAAGCGCAACAUCGUCACGUGCUGCUUGUAAUUUCUUACUGUUAUUGCGAGUACCGGGUAAACCGCUGUUGACCACAGCCGCCAUGACGUCAUAUCAUGCUGUAUUGCCUUACCACUGCCGCCACGGAUCACGUGUAAUUUAUAUUGUAUAAAGUUUUAUUGUAUAGUCGCAAUGCGAUAUAUAUAUUUCUACCGAAUGUGCUCUAUUUUUUGCAUUUCAAUAAACAUAUUAACUGGAAAUGGCUUGUUUUGUGAAUGCCUGUAGUGUUGUAGUUACUUUAUCGAGUUAUGCUACUAGGUUUUCAUUGAAUUGCAAGAUGUUUUCGACUAACCCACCGUUUUGAAAGAUUAAAAUUAUAUUUUAAAUAUAUAUUUUUGUUUAAAAUACAACCGGCCUCGGUGGC